ensembl:lncRNA
CAGCAGAUGGACUCAGCCAUACUCUUUUGCAAAAUGAGCUAUCCUGACUAUCCAUCAAAAAGCUCCUAAAAAAAAACCCUCUGGUUUAUACCUCCGUGGUGAAAGGCCAUAUGGCUGUAAAAACAAACGAAAAAAGAGGCAAAGCCACAAGUACUGACUUGGACAACCUCUAAGAUACCUUAAGAGAAACGGGCAACGUACAGAACAAUGGGCAUAGAACCUACUACUUGUCUUAAAAAAGAAAAAAAAAACUAAAUUGAAGCCCAACCAUCCAUAAAGAGAAAAAAGUCUCAGGAGACCGGCCUCGGCUCACCUUUCGGGCCCCACACCGCUUAACGACUCGCACGGUGUUUCCCGUGCACGAAACCGUCAGGCAGGGAAGGGCCUGUGUCUGGGGAGCGGCGGGGGUUCGCCCCAGGUCACCCGCCAGGGCGCUUUCGCGGAAGAGUGAGAGCCAGGCGUUGCCAGGCUGCUCCCCGCGCCUCACAGACACCGGGAGCUGAAGAAACUUGAGAGGCAUCUAUGCCCCUCGCCGUAGCGACUCAGAUCGCAGAGGGGGAGCCUACCUCAGUUUGCUCGAGC